UCCGAGUUACCCCGGCAGUCUCCUAUGAGUCCCCAACAUUACUUGCUGGCAACAUAGGACGAGGGUUGCGCUCGUUGCGGGACUUAACCCAACAUCUCACGACACGAGCUGACGACAGCCAUGCACCACCUGUAUAGAGCCCUUGCGGACCUGCCAUCUCUGACAGUUUUCCCUAUAUGUCAAAUCCAGGUAAGGUUCUUCGCGUUGCAUCGAAUUAAUCCACAUGCUCCACCGCUUGUGCGGGCCCCCGCCAAUUCCUUUGAGUUUCAACCUUGCGGCCGUAGUCCCCAGGCGGUUCACUUAAUGCGUUAGCUGCGGCACUGAGGGAGAACCCCCAACACCUAGUGAACAUAGUUUAGGGCCAAGACUAC
rnacentral:misc_RNA from 1 species